rnacentral:rRNA from 1 species
GAUAUCAGAACUGUGGGGACACAGAGGGAAAGCACAGGCGCGGAAUGGAAAGCCGCGUGCAAGCGAGGUACCGGACUGGUAGGAAAAACCGCCAGCCAACGGGAAGACGUGAUGCGGACCGAAAUUUAGUAGGGAAGUGUGUGAGCCAGCUGUCAAGAAAAGCCGCUAUUGUGUAUACAGUACCCGUACCGUAAACCGACACAGGUGGAUGAGGAGAGAAUCCUAAGGCCGGCGGAAGAAGUAUUGUCAAGGAACUCGGCAAAAUGACCCUGUAACUUCGGGAGAAAGGGUGCCUCGAAAGAGGCCGCAGAGAAUUGGCCCAAGCAACUGUUUAGCAAAAACACAGGUCUAUGCGAAACCGAAAGGUGAGGUAUAUGGGCUGACGCCUGCCCGGUGCUGGAAGGUUAAGGGGAGAUGUUAGAGCAAUCGAAGCAUCGAACUUAAGCCCCAGUAAACGGCGGCCGUAACGAUAACGGUCCUAAGGUAGCGAAAUUCCUUGUCGGGUAAGUUCCGACCCGCACGAAAGGCGUAAUGAUUUGGGCGCUGUCUCGACAAUACAUCCGGUGAAAUUGAAGUACCAGUGAAGAUGCUGGUUACCCGCGCCAGGACGGAAAGACCCCAUGGAGCUUUACUCCAGCUUGAUACUGGGAUUCGGUAUUGCAUGUACAGGAUAGGUGGGAGGCUAAGAAGCAUGGACGCCAGUCUAUGUGGAGCCGCUGUUGGGAUACCACCCUUGCGGUAUUGGAUUUCUAACCAGCCGCCGUGAAACCGGCGGUGGGACAAUGUCAGGCGGGGAGUUUGACUGGGGCGGUCGCCUCCGAAAGGGUAUCGGAGGCGCCCAAAGGUUCCCUCAGAAUGGUUGGAAACCAUUCGAAGAGUGCAAAGGCAGAAGGGGGCUUGACUGUGACACCGACGGGUGGAGCAGGUACGAAAGUAGGGCUUAGUGAUCCGGUGGUAUUAAGUGGGAAUGCCAUCGCUCAACUGAUAAAAGCUACCCUGGGAUAACAGGCUUAUCACUCCCAAGAGUUCACAUCGACGGAGUGGUUUGGCACCUCGAUGUCGGCUCAUCGCAUCCUGGGGCUGUAGUAGGUCCCAAGGGUUGGGCUGUUCGCCCAUUAAAGCGGUACGCGAGCUGGGAUCAGAACGUCGUGAGACAGUUCGGUCCCUAUCCGGCGUGGGCGCAGGAUAUUUGAGAGGAGCUGUCCUUAGUACGAGAGGACCGGGAUGGACUGACCUCUGGUGCACCGGUUGUUCCGCCAGGAGCAUAGCCGGGUAGCCAAGUCGGGAAGGGAUAAACGCUGAAGGCAUCUAAGCGUGAAGCCCCCCUCAAGAUGAGAUAUCCCAUGCGAAAGCGAUAAGACCCCUUGAAGACGACGAGGUAGAUAGGUCAGAGGUGGAAGUGCAGUAAUGCAUGGAGCUGACUGAUACUAAUAGGUCGAAGGCUUAACCG